CCUGUCUCCACAACACCACUAACCUCAGUGCCUGAGCCUGUCUCCACAACACCACUAGCCUCAGUGCCUCUCUCCACAACACCACUACUCUCAGUGCCUCUCUCCACAACAUCACUACCCUCAGUGCCUGUCUCCAUAACACCAUUACACUCUGAAAGUGCAGAAAAUGAAUAAUGUAGAGCAACAGACUGUGCAAUAUGCCUUUUAUCCACAACUCUAAGUCUACCAGAUCCUACAGUAAUCCAUCUGCCAUUCCUAG